rnacentral:rRNA from 1 species
GUCCACGCCCUAAACGAUGUCAACUGGUUGUUGGGAAUUCACUUUCUCAGUAACGAAGCUAACGCGUGAAGUUGACCGCCUGGGGAGUACGGCCGCAAGGUUGAAACUCAAAAGGAAUUGACGGGGGCCCGCACAAGCGGUGGAGCAUGUGGUUUAAUUCGAAGCAACGCGAAGAACCUUACCUGGCCUUGACAUGCUGAGAACUUUCUAGAGAUAGAUUGGUGCCUUCGGGAACUCAGACACAGGUGCUGCAUGGCUGUCGU